rnacentral:rRNA from 1 species
AUUGAACGCUGGCGGCAGGCUUAACACAUGCAAGUCGAGCGGGGGAAGGUAGCUUGCUACUGGACCUAGCGGCGGACGGGUGAGUAAUGCUUAGGAAUCUGCCUAUUAGUGGGGGACAACAUCUCGAAAGGGAUGCUAAUACCGCAUACGUCCUACGGGAGAAAGCAGGGGAUCUUCGGACCUUGCGCUAAUAGAUGAGCCUAAGUCGGAUUAGCUAGUUGGUGGGGGAAAGGCCUACCAAGGCGACGAUCUGUAGCUGGUCUGAGGGGAUGAUCCGCCAAACUGGGACUGAGACACGGCCCAGACUCCUACGGGAGGCAGCAGUGGGGAAUAUUGGACAAUGGGGGGAACCCUGAUCCAGCCAUGCCGCGUGUGGGAAGAAGGCCUUAUGGUUGUAAAGCACUUUAAGCGAGGAGGAGGCUACUGAGACUAAUACUCUUGGAUAGUGGACGUUACUCGCAGAAUAAGCACCGGCUAACUCUGUGCCAGCCGCCGCCGUAA